AUUGAACGCUGGCGGCAGGCCUAACACAUGCAAGUCGAGCGAGCGGAGGACGGGUGAGUAAUGUCUGGGAAAAUGCCUGAUGGAGGGGGAUCACUCCUGGAAAAGGUAGCUAAUACCGCAUACCAUCAGAUGUGCCCAGAUGGGGUGAUCUAGUAGGUGGGGUAACUGCUCACCUAGGCGACGAUCCCUAGCUGGUCUGAGAGGAUGACCAGCCACACUGGAACUGAGACACGGCCCAGACUCCUACGGGAGGCAGCAGUGGGGAAUAUUGCACAAUGGGCGCAAGCCUGAUGCAGCCAUGCCGCGUGUGUGAAGAAGGCCUUCGGGUUGUAAAGCACUUUCAGCGGGGAGGCGUUACCCGCAGAAGAAGCACCGGCUAACUCCGUGCCAGCAGCCGCGGUAAUAC
rnacentral:rRNA from 1 species